rnacentral:rRNA from 1 species
GGACUCCUAAAGCGGCGGACUGGUGAGUACACGUGGGUGACCUACCUUAACGAUUGGGAUAGCCUUUAAAAUAAAGGGUAAUACCGGAUAAUGUUGCAGGGCUUUGGCCUUGUAAAGAAAGGUGCUAAGUGCACCGCCUUGAGAUGGGCCCUGCGGCCCAUUAGCUAGUUGGUGAGGUAAAGGCCCACCAAGGCGAUGAUGGGUAGCCGGCCUGAGAGGGUGAACGGCACACUGGGACUGAGAUACGGCCAGACUCCUACGGGAGGCAGCAGCUAAGAAUAUUCCGCAAUGGACGGAACACUCUGACGGAGCGACGCCGCGUGGAUGAAGAAGGCCGAAAGUGUUGUCAAGUUCUUUAGCGGAUGAACGAAUAAGUGCGGGAGGGAAUGCCCGCACUGAUGACGUUAGUUCGCGAAUAAGCCCCGAGCUAAUUAC